rnacentral:lncRNA from 1 species
UCAAUAAGAGACAUAUAAAUAGACCAUCAAUGCAAUAACAUUGAAGUAAGAACUCAUUGGCACAUCAAUGAAGUGUUUUGGAGUCAUCAAUUCCAUAACAAUGAAGUAGGAACUUAUUAGUAUAUCAAUGAAACGUUUUGGAGUCAUUAAUAGCACAUGGAUCUUGUUUGAGUAACCGGAUACCUUCUGACAUUCAUUAGUGCAAUAAACAUGUAAGAUUUGGAAAACAAGUAAGUAUUGGAAUGUCUUGACAUCUUGUAGGGUGGAAACAAGUUCAUUGGUAACGUAGGACAUCAUACAAAACCAUUAUGGAUCACAUGUUACUGAAUAACUUUGGAAACUUUCUUAAUAGAACAAUUGUUCACUUUCAUGCCAAAGAUAUGGUAUAGAGUAUGCUUUACAUACCUGACUAUCAACCUUC